rnacentral:snoRNA from 1 species
UGGCAAUGAUUGAUUAUCAUUGAGCCAAUCCUUUUCUGAAGUCAUUAGUGAGGAUGGAUAUGAUAGGUCUGAGCCA